rnacentral:rRNA from 1 species
AUGAGGGGAGCUAUUUGUGAGGAACGCACAGAUCACCAUGUACUCCCAAGUGCAAGAGCACCGACCUUGCUGCUGGCUGCCCAGGUAUUUGAUGAGUUGGGCUACAAGUCACGGGUCUCAUGCCGUCUUCUCGGUUUCACGCGGAAUGGAAGGUCAGAUGAUGCAGUGAGGCUCUUCUCCAGGAUGCAGCUUGUAAAUAUGAAACCUGGUUCCUUCGCUCUUCUCAGUUUCAUUCUUGCCCUUGCAGACAUUCAAGACCCACUGCCGGCAAGAUUGAUCCAUGCAUACUCUAUCAGGCUGCACCUAAAUCAAGAUGCGCAUGUUCUGACAGCCCUUAUUCACAUGUAUGCAGAAUGUGGCCACGACAGUAUAGCUAGAAGUUUCUUCAACUCAGCAAGGGAGAGACAUGUCAUCACAUGGAAUGCUAUAAUCCGUGGGUAUGACUCACAUGGUUUUGGCAAGGUCGCAGUUGAGCUGUUUGAAGAGAUGAAAAAUUCUGGCAGAGUGCCCAACUAG